rnacentral:misc_RNA from 1 species
GACAAACAAUUAGUGAGAUAUAUUACUAUUAUUAUUUUUGGUGGGUUGAGGUUUUUAGAGACCUUAGUUUUGAGCUACCUGGCCCUCUCCACAUGUACUAAAAAGAGAUGAAUAAAUUAAUUGCCUUUAAAAUUUUGGCAAUUUCAACAUAAAUCAACAACUCCCAAUCCAUGGAAGAUUUUGUGUUGCACCAUAAUUUUGUAAGAGAUUACCUAUAUGCAGAAACUGCAACUCUAUAUGCCAAGUAAAAGGGUGAUUAUGUGUAUUUAC